CUGGCACACCUCCAGAAACUGCUCCUUUUAAUAGCUCUGAAGCACGUUUGAUGUGGAGACAAAUCUUCCCACUUUUCUGACGAAGGGAGUUACCCCUGUGCUUCCCCAGUUAAUCCAAAGGAAACCUCAUGCGCUGACUUUGCACUGCGGAGAUGGGAGAUGGGGUCACGACCAGUCCUUGAGCAAAGAAGCUACAGACAAGUGCGCUUCAGCACGGGGAAGGAAGAGCCUGAAAGUGAAAGCCGUGCUCUGGCUGCUCCCGAGCAGCAGUGACUUGGCAACGCUGGCUGAAGGUGACCAGAUGCUGAGAGGUCCCUCCCUGCGUGCCGCAGCGCUGUGCACACUGUGCCGCACCGAGAGUAAUGCCCAACGCGUUCUGCACAUCCCCUGUUCCAUGGGAACACUGAAGCC
ensembl:lncRNA